rnacentral:rRNA from 1 species
GAUAAACGCUGGCGGCGUGCCUAACACAUGCAAGUCGAACGCCCUUACGCAAGUAAGGAGUGGCGGACGGGUGAGGAACACGUGGGUGAUCUGCCUUGAGGUGAGGAAUACCGGCGAGAAAUCGCCGACAAUACCGCAUACGUUCGCAAGAACAAAGUCGCAAGACGCCUUGAGAUGAGCCUGCGUCCGAUUAGCUAGUUGGUGGGAAAGCCUACCAAGGCAGCGAUCGGUAGCUGGUCUGAGAGGACGAUCAGCCACACUGGGAUUGAGAACGGCCC